rnacentral:rRNA from 1 species
UACGUAGGGUGCAAGCGUUUGUCCCGGAAUUAUUGGGCGUAAAGAGCUCGUAGGCGGUUUGUCGCGUCUGCUGUGAAAACGCGAGGCUCAACCUCGCGCCUGCAGUGGGUACGGGCAGACUAGAGUGCGGUAGGGGAGAUUGGAAUUCCUGGUGUAGCGGUGGAAUGCGCAGAUAUCAGGAGGAACACCGAUGGCGAAGGCAGAUCUCUGGGCCGUAACUGACGCUGAGGAGCGAAAGCAUGGGGAGCGAACAGG